rnacentral:rRNA from 1 species
CAUGCAAGUCGAACGAAGUAGCAAUACUUAGUGGCAGACGGGUGAGUAACAUGUAGGUAUCUGCCCUUUGGCCUGGAAUAACACGAGGAAACUUGUGCUAAUACCGGAUAAGUCUUUACGGAGAAAGCUUUAUGCACCAUUGGAUGAGCCUGCACUUGAUUAGUUUGUUGGUGGGGUAAUGGCCUACCAAGACUGUGAUCAAUAGCUGAUUUGAGAGGAUGAUCAGCCACAUUGGGACUGAGACACGGCCCAAACUCCUACGGGAGGCAGCAGUGGGGAAUCUUGCACAAUGGAGGAAACUCUGAUGCAGCGAUGCCGCGUGAGUGAAGAAGGCCUUUGGGUUGUAAAGCUCUUUCGUCGGGGAAGAAAAUGACUGUACCCGAAUAAGAAGGUCCGGCUAACUUCGUGCCAGCAGCCGCGGUAAUACGAAGGGACCUAGCGUAGUUCGGAAUUACUGGGCUUAAAGAGUUCGUAGGUGGUUGAAAAAGUUGGUGGUGAAAUCCCAGAGCUUAACUCUGGAACUGCCAUCAAAACUUUUCAGCUAGAGUGUGAUAGAGGAAAGCAGAAUUUCUAGUGUAGAGGUGAAAUUCGUAGAUAUUA